AACGAACGCUGGCGGCAGGCUUAACACAUGCAAGUCGAACGCGUGUAGCAAUACACGAGUGGCGCACGGGUGAGUAACGCGUGGAUAUCUGCCUUUUGGUUCGGAAUAACCCCGGGAAACUGGGGCUAAUACCGAAUGGUUCCUUCGGGAUAAAGAUUUAUCGCCAAAAGAUGAGUCCGCGUACGAUUAGCUAGUUGGUGAGGUAAUGGCUCACCAAGGCGACGAUCGUUAGCUGGUCUGAGAGGACGAUCAGCCACACUGGGACUGAGACACGGCCCAGACUCCUACGGGAGGCAGCAGUGGGGAAUAUUGGACAAUGGGGGCAACCCUGAUCCGGCCAUGCCGCGUGAGUGAUGAAGGCCUUCGGGUUGUAAAGCUCUUUUGGCGGGGACGAUGAUGA
rnacentral:rRNA from 2 species